rnacentral:rRNA from 1 species
GAUGAACGCUGGCGGCGUGCCUAAUACAUGCCAGUCGAGCGAACAGACGAGGAGCUUGCUCCUCUGACGUUAGCGGCGGACGGGUGAGUAACACGUGUAUAACCUACCUAUAAGACUGGGAUAACUUCGGGAAACCGGAGCUAAUACCGUAUAAUAUAUUGAACCGCAUGGUUCAAUAGUGAAAGACGGUUUUGCUGUCACUUAUCGAUGGAUCCGCGCCGCAUUAGCUAGUUGGUAAGGUAACGGCUUACCAAGGCAACGAUGCGUAGCCGACCUGAGGGGGUGAUCGGCCACACUGGAACUGAGACACGGUCCAGACUCCUACGGGAGGCAGCAGUAGGGAAUCUUCCGCAAUGGGCGAAAGCCUGACGGAGCAACGCCGCGUGAGUGAUGAAGGUCUUCGGAUCGUAAAACUCUGUUAUUAGGGAAGAACAAAUGUGUAAGUAACUAUGCACGUCUUGACGGUACCUAAUCAGAAAGCCACGGCUAACUACGUG